AGCUCGUAGUUGGAUUUCUGUCGGUGAGGUUCAGUCCGCCCAAGUGGUUGGUACGUGAUCCGCCACCGGCAUCUUCCUGGGGAAUGUGUCUGCUCUUAAUUGGGUGGUACAUAAGCCAGGACUUUUACUUUGAAGAAAUGAGAGUGUUUCAAGCAGGCAUGCGCCGUGAAUACGUUAGCAUGGGAUAAUAGCAUCGGACCUCGUUCCAAAGCUGUUGGUUUCUUGGACCGAGGUAAAGGUGAAUAGGGAUUGUUGGGGGCAUUCGUAUUUGACUGUCAGAGGUGAAAUUCUUGGAUUUGUUGAAGACGGACUACUGCGAAAGCAUCUGCCAAAGAUGUUCUCAUUGAUCAAGAACGAAAGUUAGGUGAUCGAAGACGAUCAGAUACCGUCCUAUUCUUAACCAUAAACUAUGCCGACUGGAGAUCGGGGGUCGUUAAUUAUGUGACGCCCU
rnacentral:rRNA from 1 species